GACGAACGCUGGCGGCGUGCUUAACACAUGCAAGUCGAGCGGAGCGGCGAACGGGUGAGUAACGCGAGAGUAACUGCCCCCCUCUCUGGGGUAACAGUUGGAAACGGAUGCUAAUACCAGAUAGUGGGGGCUGACUCGCGGCCUAUCAGCUUGUUGGUGGGGUAGUGGCAGACCAAGGCGACGACGGGUAGCCGGCCGGAGAGGGCGACCGGCCACAUUGGGCUGAGAUACGGCCCAAACGCCUACGGGAGGCAGCAGUGGGGAAUAUUGCACAAUGGGGGAAACUCUGAUGCAGCAACGCGGGGGCGGGAUGACGGCCUUCGGGUUGUAAACCGCUUUCAGCCAUGACGCGGUAGUGGCAGAAGAAGCACCGGCUAACUACGUGCCAGCAGCCGCGGUAAUUC
rnacentral:rRNA from 1 species